UAAGUGAGGUCAGAGUGCACAGUGACAAACAGGAAGUGAGGUCAGAGUGCAGAGUGACAAACAGAAAGUGAGGUCAGAGUGCACAGUGACAAACAGAAAGUGAGGUCAGAGUACAGAGUGACAAACAGGGAGUGAGGUCAGAGUACAGAGUGACAGACAGGAAGUGAGGUCAGAGUGCAAAGUGACAAACAGUAAGUGAGGUCAAAGUGCUGUAAGAAACAGUAAGUGAGGUCAGAGAGCAAAGUGACAAACAGGAAGUGAGGUCAGAGUGCAGUGACAAACAGGAAGUGAGGUCAGAAUGCAGAGUGACAAACAGAAAGUGAGGUCAGAGUGGCAAACAGGGAGUGAGGUCAGAGUACAGAGUGACAAACAGGGAGUGUGGUCAGAGUACAGAGUGACAAACAGAAAGUGAGGUCAGAGUGCAGAGUGGCAACAGGGAGUGAGGUCAGAGUGCAGAGUAACAAACAGAAAGUGAGGUCAGAGUGCAGAGUGACAAACAGGGAGUGAGGUCAGAGUGCAGAGUAACAAACAGAAUGUGAGGUCAGAGUGCAGAGUGACA